rnacentral:rRNA from 1 species
UUAAUUGAAGAGUUUGAUCAUGGCUCAGAUUGAACGCUGGCGGCAGGCCUAACACAUGCAAGUCGAGCGGUAACAGGAGAAAGCUUGCUUUCUUGCUGACGAGCGGCGGACGGGUGAGUAAUGUAUGGGGAUCUGCCCGAUAGAGGGGGAUAACUACUGGAAACGGUGGCUAAUACCGCAUAAUGUCUACGGACCAAAGCAGGGGCUCUUCGGACCUUGCACUAUCGGAUGAACCCAUAUGGGAUUAGCUAGUAGGUGGGGUAAAGGCUCACCUAGGCGACGAUCUCUAGCUGGUCUGAGAGGAUGAUCAGCCACACUGGGACUGAGACACGGCCCAGACUCCUACGGGAGGCAGCAGUGGGGAAUAUUGCACAAUG